rnacentral:rRNA from 1 species
GGGGAAUAUUGCACAAUGGGCGAAAGCCUGAUGCAGCGACGCCGCGUGGAGGAUGAAGGCCUUCGGGUCGUAAACUCCUGUCUGGGGGGAUGAACACUGACAGUACCCCCGGAGGAAGCCCCGGCUAACUACGUGCCAGCAGCCGCGGUAAUACGUAGGUGGCAAGCGUUGUCCGGAUUUACUGGGCGUAAAGGGAGUGUAGGUGGAUGCUUAAGUCAGAUGUGGAAUACCCGGGCUCAACUUGGGUGCUGCAUUUGAAACUGGGCGUCUAGAGUGCAGGAGAGGAAAGCGGAAUUCCUAGUGUAGCGGUGAAAUGCGUAGAGAUUAGGAAGAACACCAGUGGCGAAGGCGGCUUUCUGGACUGUAACUGACACUGAGGCUCGAAAGCGUGGGGAGCAAAC